rnacentral:lncRNA from 13 species
GGCGCGUGUUGUGCUUUGUGCUACAUCUGUAUGUUUACUGUUUACCAAAGAGGUUAUAAACUCUUUGGUAUCUGGUAUCUACGCAAAGCGUCGAUUUUCGGAAGAAUAUUCAGAGAAGGGCAAAAAGGGAUACGCGUUCAGUUUGCUGAAAAACGGCAGUAGCUUAUUCGAUGAUGCCGAGAAGGAAAUUGGGAUAUUUCGAAGACCGAAAUUAUAUCAAGACUUUGUCGUGAUCUAGGAUAUCAGUCAUAUUUUGACGACGACAAUAGUUCCGAGAACAGUAGCGACUUAAAAUUAGAACUUAUUCAAUCCGAACUGGAAUGGACCAAUACAAUAUGGAGACAAACAGUGAAUGUUUUUAUAUGAUAUACAAAACUGAUAUACAGUGCAAAAUGCACGCCGUAAAUUUAGUGGAUUUUGUAUAAUUUAAGCAACUCUCUGGAAAGAGAGAAACAACAUUUGCGAGAUAGAAGCAAUUUUUUAUGUACUGUAAUUUCACAAAAAUAAAAAUUAGGGUCCAAAUUUGAAA